UACGUAGGGACCGAGCGUUGUCCGGAAUCAUUGGGCGUAAAGAGCGUGUAGGCGGCCUUUUAAGUCCUGCGUGAAAUCCUGCGGCUCAACCGCAGACGGUCGUGGGAAACUGGCAGGCUAGAGUGCGGGAGGGGAGGCUGGAAUUCCUGGUGUAGCGGUGAAAUGCGCAGAUAUCAGGAGGAGCACCGGUGGCGAAGGCGGGUCGCUGGGCCGAUAUUGACGCUGAGGAGCGAAAGCGUGGGGAGCGAACAGG
rnacentral:rRNA from 1 species